ensembl:lncRNA
CGCUGCUCUUCCGGUCCCUUCUGAUGUCAGCCAGAGAAACGAGGGAAGUAGCAUGCUAAGAGGAAGAGAAAACCAGGAUAAAACCUCGGAGUUUACCUGUGAAAAGGAAAAAAAACAGUUGGAGCACUUACCCAGUGGAGGUCCGGAGCCAAGUGACUGAACGAAGGAGAGAGUUACGCAGAGAGCCGCAGCAAGGUCCGACAUCAGCGUGCUCCGCCUUGAUACACAGAGAGUAACGGUGGAAGCUGAAUUAGUGAGGAUGACUCCUGCUCCUGUCAUCUCUAAGCUCCUCACACAUCUUUACCUGCACAUGAGGAAAAUCACUCCUGUAGAAUGCAGUGGUUCAUCAGAACCUCUGGGGAUGUCCUGUGGAUUCUGUGGGUCCUGUGGGUUGCAGGGUGGGUCCUACCUAGACCAGGCUGAUCCUGGACCAUCCCACAGAUGCUCCAUCAGAUCUGGAUGUGGGGAGUGUGGAACCCAGAUGUUCAGAGGGAGAUGAUGCCACAUCUGGUCCAGCUGAUGGAAGGUCUUGAAGUUCUCUGACUGGCCUCGACUGAAGAUGGUCGUCUCACUGGAUUUAAGGUUCAGAUCGUCAGUAACAAACUCCAUCAAUGUGCCAACAGGGAAGCUUUAGGUUUAUUAAAUGUUGCUAUGAAGGUAUCGCUGUUUUUCUUUGUGAAUGCAAUGUGCUCCAACUGAAACUUGAAUUAGAACUUAGAAGUAAAUCCUUCCAUCUGAAAGGAUCUAGUUGCAUUAAUAACCUCAUAACAUUCAAAUUUUUAUUCCAGUCUUGGUUGGAAAUAGAAUCUCUGUAUUGAUUCGGGUAAAAACUGAACUUCACAGCAUGUUGGAGCAAAACAACCAGAUGAAAACUGUGAUGGUGUUGGAUUGUCAGACCGUAAUGUUGCAGCUCAAAGCAGCUUUUCUAUCUCAGUUCAUUCUGACAUUCAGCUAUGAAUCAACACAGCAGAUGGUGAUCCAUGCUGUGGAAGUCUCACAUCUCCUGAUUUAAUGGAGCUGCUUUGCACUUUUUACACUGUUUAUUCACCAACACUUUAUUUAAUAAAAGUCCCAUCCAGUUUUUAUGAGGAAUGUGAUGUUUUAAUUUCUCUGUGAAUAACUGCAGUCUAAUGUAACAGCUGGAGUUGUAACAUCUGUCCUGAUAUUGAUCAUGAAGUAUUGAUCAGAAUACUGAUGAUCAGCAGUCAUCCCUGAAGUUUUACAUUAAAAUCUUUACUUGUGUUGUGAACUUUGGUAAGAAGCAGAAACAUUAGCGUUGCCAUGGAUACAUGAGUGUUAAAUUCUGUCCAUGUUUCCAUUUUGGGAAAUUCAGUCCAGUUCCAGAAUGUGGAGGAAUUUAGUCUCACAAUCACAGACAACAAAUAUUAUCUGAAAGUCGGGUUAUUGUUGUUUAUCAGCACAAUACAAAAAGAUUAAUGUUAGAAAUAUUCCAGUUAAGACUCUAGAAUAUCAUGAUUUAUGUAAAUUUACCUCAAUAAUAUGAAUGUUCAGGUUAAGAUUAUACAGUGAUAUUUAUUAUGUAAGUUUAGCUGAUUAAAGUUUAUGACUGCACUAAAAUAUUAUUUAAAUUGACAUUAUUAUAACAUUUAGGGUCAGACCCUACAGUACUGAGAUUAAGAAAUCAAAUAUUCUAUAAAAUAUAAAUACAAUGAACUCAUUUGGAUAUAUUUAAGUGAGACUGCAAUAUUAUUUGACACAAAUCUAUCUAAAUCAAAAUUUUAAUAAUUUUCACGCCAAACAUUUACUGGACUGAUUUAAAUAUUAAAAUCACUCCCUUCUAAUCCUCUGCUGUUCGUUCAAACCUGAGGCCUUAAAUAGAAACACACAAGUAUCUGAUUGAAGGAACUUCUGCAGAGUCCUGGUUCCAGAACAUGAUGAUAGAAUUAUAGACAAACUUUAACAAAAGCUGCCUGAGAGUUUACAGGUUUUUAUGUUGGAUUUCUUCACUAAUUUAAUGAACGUUAUCAGCAAUAAUCAAGUGUUCAUUUGAUGAACUUAUUUCCUAAAACAUCCAGAAUUGGAGCUCAUAUCUUUGGCAGCUGUAAAGUUUCUGCUCCUUCAAAGUUCACAACACAAUGAAUUAAUUCCUAAAACACUCUCAAUGCUGGAGAGCGUUUGUGAUGCUGAAGCAGUGAUCAGUUUUUCUGUUUCUUCUCUGGAGAUGCACAAUGAGGGACGUCUGCAGAGACUGAGAAAGAGUCUCACCACAUCCUGACAUGAGGAAAAAGACUUUAUUGAAGACUACAAUGAGAAAAACUAUCAGACAGCAGACGGCUGCAUUCAAGAGAAGAAGACCAUCAAACAUCCACGUCAGCUGAUGGAGGUCCAAGAGUCUCACUGAACAAACAACCUACAGAGUGAAGACCUCAAAUCUGAUUGGACGGCCUCCUAUUCAGCUACAUGUUUGAACAAAUGCCUCUAAGUUGAUUUGUUUUCUAAAAUAAAUCUAGUUUGAGUCCUAAUCUAUGCCUGUGUGUUUGCUUCUUUACACCGCUGUUAACAGUUUAGGCUGUUAGAUUGUUCCAGAUAAGACAAGUACAAGAUUCUUCAGAGCCGUUGUACCACGAGCCUGACAGGAAGAACUCCAACAGCUACUGAAUGUUCCUGUGGUUCCCUCAAGGCUACAGGAGGAGCCCUACGAGGACGAGCCGGUGCACCUGAUGGCGGCCAGUCGCUGUGGUUCAAAGCCAAUACCGACUACGUGGACUUCUACUGGACCACACGGAAGCCUUCAAACCAGACCAACAAGUUCAGCGACUCCCCGACUCGUGGGUCUGAGGACGCCGCCGAGCCUCGGCUCAGCCGGCCUCCUGUCUGUGGGUGUUUGAGUGCUGAGAGGUUUGUGGAUGCAUGUGAAUGUGUCUGUGUUGAAACAGCAGCUUUUGACUCAGUAACGCCGGGAAAAACCAAGAGCUCCUUUAUCUGUGACUUCCACUAAAAAACUGAAGAAAAUAAGUUUGCCAGAGUUCUGACUGACAACAGAUUAUUAAAUAAUGAAAAUAAUCGUUUAAAUAUUCCUUUAAACAAUCCUUUUAGGUCUACAUUUCCUUUACA